AGCCAUCAUUUAAAGAAAGCGUAAUAGCUCACUGGUCGAGUCGGCCUGCGCGGAAGAUGUAACGGGGCUAAACCAUGCACCGAAGCUGCGGCAGCGAACGUAUCACUUAAAGCGAUUCAGCGGGUUACGAUUGACGGAGCGAAGCGACGUCAAAGCGUAUACAAAGUCGAGUCGGUUUAAGGAUACGUUCGUUGGGUAGGGGAGCGUUCUGUAAGCCUGCGAAGGUGGCCUGUGAGGGUUGCUGGAGGUAUCAGAAGUGCGAAUGCUGACAUAAGUAACGAUAAAGCGGGUGAAAAGCCCGCUCGCCGGAAGACCAA
rnacentral:rRNA from 1 species